UCCACUGCAGCAUAGCAAGCGCACCUUAUGUAAUGCAGGGCGGCAGUGAACAGGCGGAGUCUCGCGCUCCUCACUCACAGGCUGCUGGUUACAAGCGCUAGUUUUGUGUUAUGUCAUAUAGCGAAGUAACUUCUACGAACGCACAGCAUACCGCUAGAUUUCCUCGUGUUGGUCACGAAAGAGCUACGUAAACCAGUAUGUUUGGAGCGGUGGUUGUUGGCAUUGGCACAGCAGGUUGGGUGAGGAUUAGAGACAUGUUAGAUCCUCUUCCUGGCAGUCCUGCAGAGAAACUCAAUGUCAGAGGAUUCAUAUCGAGGAGAAGCCUGGAUACUCAACAGGGAGUGAGUCAGAUCACAGUAGAAGAGGCUGUGAGCAGAGAAGACAUUCAUGUGGCGUUUAUCUGCACUGAGAAUGUGUUGCAUGAGGACAACAUCAGGUAAUGUGUAUGGCGGCAAAAGUCCCUCAACUUGAU